rnacentral:rRNA from 1 species
UGAACGCUAGCGACAGGCCUAACACAUGCAAGUCGAGGGGCAGCACAAGGAGCAAUCUGAGGUGGCGACCGGCGCACGGGUGAGUAACACGUAUGCAACCUGCCUGUAAGCGGGGAAUAACCCGUUGAAAGACGGACUAAUACCGCAUAAUACUAAAUUACUGCAUGGUAAUUUAUUUAAACAUUUAUGGCUUACAGAUGGGCAUGCGCAUGAUUAGCUAGUUGGAGAGGUAACGGCUCCCCAAGGCAACGAUCAUUAGGGGUUCUGAGAGGAAGGUCCCCCACACUGGUACUGAGACACGGACCAGACUCCUACGGGAGGCAGCAGUGAGGAAUAUUGGUCAGUGGACGAGAGUCUGAACCAGCCAAGUCGCGUGCAGGAAGAAUGUCCCUAUGGAUUGUAAACUGCUCUUGCAGGGGAAUAAAGUGCAUCACGUGUGAUGUUUUGUAUGUACUCUGCGAAUAAGGAUCGGCUAACUCCGUGCCAGCCGCGGC